UUGUUGAAGGAAGUGUGUCACUGGGGGUGGGCUUUGAGGUCUCUGAGUCUAACCCCAUUGGGAGUUCAGAGCUCUCUCUUCUUCUUCCCUGCUGGU
rnacentral:miRNA from 1 species